ensembl:lncRNA
CGCUCACUCCAUGCAGGGAGUUGCUGAGCUCACUCGUGGUCCUGUCCCCUCCGGUACCCCGGGCUGACUGUCCCCUGCCCAGGUGGUGGCAGAGGGAUCCCUGGAGCCUAGGCGCAGCAGCAGGUGCAAGACGAAGUGUGGCCGCCAGAGAGCAGCAGUGACCGCCCGCGGAAACCCAUAGACAACAGCCGAUCUGGAAGGAGGCCAGGUUCUUAGGUGGGCACCCUCUCCUGUCGCUGGAUGGAGGAUCUUCUAGGUCAAGGGCUCCAUCGAUAAAUAAAUACACAUCCAACUCAUCUGUUCCUUUUUUGCAACAUGUUUAUUGAGAAGCAACUGCGUUCCUGCCUGCCCAGAGCUCGAAGUGUUAGGGGCACCAGUCUGAUGGAGAUCCGAACAGUGUAGGACCACAGCCCGGCAAAGGGGCACUCAGCGUGGGUUUGGGAUUAAGUGAGAACCACUUACCUUUGCAGCUAGCCUCGAGCCCUGCACCCAGGACCUGAAGCUCAGGGAGGGAGGGAGGCUGUCCAACCGGCAAGGGGCCUGGGCAGAACUUCCUGAGAAGGCUCAAGAAGCCUGGUUCACCACAAUGGUCUGUGGGUGGGUGCCUGCCUUUCCUCAACAUCCUUGGACUGCCAGGUGGCACAUGCCUGUAAACCCAGCACUCAGGAGGCUGAGACAGGAGGACUACCAUGGAGUUCCAGGCCAACCUGGGGUACAUGGUUCAAGGCCAGCCUGAACUACAUAGCAAGACUGUCAACUUCAAAGGAAAAAAAGCCCCCAGACCUCAGUCUAUUUUGUCCACCUGAGAAAUGGGGCUAGGUGCUCUACUAUCUGUGACAACAAGCUGCAGAGAACAAGCAAAAGCACAGCCCUGCCUGGGAGCAGGCAGAACAGCUGCAACUGCCCCACCCACCCUGCCUGCCCGGCCAGGAGUCUGGCAGAGUCCCAGUCCCCUCUGGCCUCAGUGUUUGAUAUGGACCCAGCUCUCAUGGUGAUGGUGAGGCUGAAUCUGUAGCUAAAAAUACCCAGGAGCCCAGCCAGCUGCUCAGUGCUUCCUUGGAGGCCUCGUGGCUGGCACAGGAGCCAGACACACCUGCCCUCCCCAGGCUGCUUCCAAGUGGCAAGGUGUCCCGGGACCCUCACCACCCUCUUGCUCACAAUGGGGUCCUGGAGACAGCGAGCUGGUUCCUGCCACAAGAUCUGCUGGGCCCCAGGAAGGUCGGGGAGAUACCAGGUGGCUUUUGUGGGGCGAGCUCAUGUGUGAUUACCCUGCCACAGGGAGGCCAACGGGGACUCUGAGCCUGGAGAGAAAUGGGCAAAGUCCAGCUACCACAAGCCAGGUGGGGGCUGAUGACGCCCACUUCCGGGGCGUUGGAAACCAUAAAUCAAUUAUUUAACACCCGGCUGGUGAGAGAUAAAAACCCCAGGCCCAGGAAGGAGCCUGGACACCCAAGGGCCCGGAGGGAGGAAAUGGCGACCAGGCCACUUAUCUGCCAAGGUACCUGGCACCUGGCCGCAGGUCUCUGCAAGCCCCAGCGGCCACCAGCACUGGAGGGCAGUGACUUUCCACAGCACAAAGCACUGCCCGCACCCAGCCGCUCGCCACCUGCGGUCACAGGUACUGGGGCUGACGCAGAAGUGGAAGCCAGGAGUUCGGGCAACAAGGCAGGAUCCUAUCUUUUCAACACUUUGGAACGGCUCACAAGGUUACACCCAGUUCUCUGCUCCAGUCCCGCGGGCAGGGGUUGCUGGGGGGUCACAGGCAGCUGGAGAACGCACAGGGUAGGUGACUCCACAACGUUUGGACGCCUCUCUCCUUGGUCCGAGCAGCGGCAGCCAUCUCCACCCCCAGGGUCCUAAAUAAAGGUCAGAUUCCACGCUCAGGCUCCCACUGGAGAUGCCCGGAAGGGGCGGGGACACAGGCGGCUCUUAGUAAGGCCGCGCAGGCCACCCCCCAGGCCAGUCGGCCGCCCUUCCGCCGGCGUGGCCCUCUCUCUGCAGGCCACAGCAGCCCCGCCCCAGGAUCGGGGUGGCGGUGUACGCCCCCGCUCGGGGGGCGGAGGAGGAGGAACAGAAGGACAGAGCGCCCCGCCCUACCGGGCUCCAGGACGCCGGGGAUGCUGGGGGAGGGGACGCGACGGUCACGGGGUCGGAAGCAGGUACGAGGCUUCCAGUAGGGCCCGGACGCCUCUCCUUUCCCAAGACCCCGAUUCACACCCAGAGCCCAGUGCGGCGCUCAACCGCUCGCUCUGGUCCGUCCCAGGGCCUCGCAGAUUUCGCUGGGAGAGGAAGACAAACCAAUCUGAGCCGAGAGCGCGCGCGGCGGGAGGUGAAGACCCCUCGGGGCUCCGUCCGGAGCAGCGGAGCCCCAGGCGGUCCGGGGAGUUCGGUGAAGUCAAACCGGGAAGGGGAAGCGGAGGUUCCAGGGCCUCAGUAAUAGGACCUGGCUCGCUCUCCUCCCUCCCAGGGCUGGGAGAAGCGGGAUGAGCCCUUUCUUUAGCAGAGGACAUUGGUCACUGAAGACCCAGCUGAGAGCCAACGACAGCACGCAGGCUACUUCCAACCCCGCAGCUCCGGGGCCGGGGUGCCAGCAGACGGCGGGCCCAGGGCCAGGGGAGCCCAAAAUAACCCAGACAGCUUCGGCCGGAAGGUGCCACGAGCCCGGGCUCCGGGUGAAGACACCUGGAGCUUGGGUGCUAGUGGUGGCCUCGCGUGGCUGAUCCCAAAUCAGGC